AUUUUCAUUUUGAAGAUGUGAGGCACUUGGCACAGCAGGGUGGUCUGCAGCAUUGAAAUUGCUACUCCAACAUGACAGACACCCUUGCAGAAAGAGGUCACAGUUGAGCAGUUUCAGGUGGAACCUACCUCGGCAAUGCAACACUUUUGGACACUACAUCGGCAUGUGCCUUUCCAUUUUGUUUUUCCUCUUCUCCCCUGGGAAGGAAGUAAACCUGGAUAUCAGCAGUCAAGGUUGAGUGAGUGAGGUGGCCCACUUGUAUUAUGCCUGCAGGGGCUGAACCCCCUCAUGGACCAGCUGAUGGAGCCAGUUUAUCACCCUUGAGCUGCCCCUGUGAGCCUUCCAGAAGUAUUACAGGGCUCUGUGAUGAAGCCUGUACCUUUUCUGUUUGAAGGGAUACCCUGCGAUGUCGGCCUCGGAGUGCGGCCACAGCGUGUGAGCCGAGGACCGGGGCGUUCUCAGGAGCCGUAGACUGAGAGAACAGCCCUCUGAGGGCAGGAGCUUCCCAGAUGAUGAGGCGGCUUUCUUUUGCACCUGAUGAGGAUUUGCAUCCCUGGAUAUCCAAGAGCUAAGUCGAGGGCUACACCUCAGGGAGGGGGAUGAGAGUGGGGUGCUGGGUCAGGACUUGGUGGGAGGGAUUUUUGAAUUAGCUUUGGAGAUGGGGAUGUCCACGAGAGGGCCCCUUAGGCCACGUAAAGGCCAAGUCUCGCUUUUGAUCACAAUGCUGAGGUGUGCAGGGCAGAGCAGUCCCUGUGCGUGUUGUGUCACUUGUCUAUUGUGUGUUCUGUGUCUCUUGGGCAUCUUGUGUCACAUGUCUUUUGCCUUACCCCUUUGAGGGGCUUAUCUGAAAUGCUGGGCAUCAUCCUUAGCAUCUCCUUUGUGUUCCUUGGCCCGACGCUGGUACCCUUGAACCUUUGACUUGCAAGCUCAGACAUGCAUCGGAAUCGCAUCUCUCUUUAGCACUCUUGAGUCAGACACCUUUUACAGUCUUGUUCUGAGCUGUAUUGACAGCUGUGCACCGCAAUGAUCCCUUAUAACAGAUUAGGACUUGGGAGAAUGCGAGGAUAGGUAGAGGAUUCCAACCGUACGAUUCUCGGGCAUCCAUCUUUGCGGUUCUUGGCAUAAGUCCUUCUGUUAGGGUCUUUUUCUGCCAGAGUUCUUUGAGCCUCAUUGGCCUCAUCUAGGUCAUCUCAUUGGUAAUUCUUCUUGCUGAGAGUUUCCUCUCCUUGUUGCAUCCCCUGGUUUGUCAUCUCCUGUGUCACAGGUGUCUGUGUGUUUGGCCUGGGGCUGCUUUGCCCUGCUACAUAGCCUGGGUGUAGGUGUAAUAGGAUAAGUCCUAGGGACUUGACAUUUGUAAUGUAGGGAUUAGUUGGACUCAAGAUGGUAUUUCUAGAUUGGCACAAGAUGUCUGGAGGUGGUAAGUUCUCAUGCGGUACUUUGACUUUUGUCAUCACCUUCUUUCAGAUGCAGAUGGAUUGAAUCUGUGGCAGAGCGCCCCAUACCAGGUGAGGUGGUUCCCACAGGAAGGAAGUAAUGCUGAAUAUCAGUGGUCAAGGUCGAUGGAGCGAGGUGGUCCACUGAGAAGGUGUCCCGGCCCUGGGAUGCUGGAGGCCAGGUGCUGCUGCUGCCCUGGGCAUGCCAAGGGACAGAGGCGAGCAGGUGAGUUGGCAUUUAGGUGGGGCGACUGA